UACACUUUGUGGUGUGAGUACAUUGAAACAUUAUAUUGAACAUUUUUGCUUUUGUAUUUUUUACUUGUUACAAAUGGUGCAGCUUUUCAUAUUUGACAAUGUACAAAAUAUAUAUUUGUGACAGAGCUGAAUAUUUACCGCAAACAUCCAAAGAAAGAUGACAAAUAGAUUAUUAGUGUAAUUCUUAGUUUUAUCUGAAUCUUUGCAUUGAGUCUGGUGAGAUUUAUGCUUUCUUCUUGUGCAUUGUGUGUUAGGAUCACAGAGAUGUGGGAUGUGUGUGUGUGUGUGUGUGUGUGUCCUCCUUGGGAAUAAUAUGAAUUUCAUGGUGGCUGGAUGCUUUUAGAGGAGUGACCCGUCCUAAAGUAGGCUAGUAGUGCAAUGCCUCCAGCAUGGGCCGACCACUCAAUGUGUGUGUGUGUGUGUGUGUGUGUGUGUGUGUGUGUGUGUGUGUGUGUGUGUGUGUGCGCGCGUAAAAUGGUAGUCAAGGCAUUUCCCUUCUUCCUUUGUCUGCUGCUGUGACUGACACACAAGCACACACACCUACAUGUGACAUCACGACAGCUGUUGGAGUCGAUCAGAUGGACCUGGAUGGACUGUGAAAGUGUUAGAAGGGUUCCCUUCUGUGACAGCUUCCAGCAAAUAAAGUGCAGGCAUGAGUACAAUAGACAGAAGUAUAUCUGUCAAAUACAGGACAGACCGUAAUAUGAAUAUAAGGUUCAUCUCACAAAUGUGAUAAAACGAAGAAAAAGCUCCAUUAAAGUAAAGUACCAGAGUGAACGCAGCUUAUUUCCACCAGCGACACACAACUCAUUCACCAAUGGAAGACAUUGUCCUGAAGUGCUUUAUGGGUAAUUAACUCACCCCACCCUCCCCCAUCACCCUGUGUGACUCCCCCGUCACUAUUGUGGAUUUCUUCCGUCUCCUGGGCUCCAUCAUCACCCAGGACCUCAAGUGGGAGCUGAACAUCAGCUCCAUCACCAAGAAGGCUCAGCAGAGGUUGUUCUUCCUGAGGCAGCUGAAGAAACUCAACCUGCCAAAGACGAUGAUGGUCCACUUCUACACGGCCAUCAUGGAGUCCAUCCUCUGCUCCUCCAUCAGCGUCUGGUACGCUGCAGCCACAGCCAAGGACAAGGGCAGGCUGCAGCGUGUCAUCCGCUCUGCAGAGAGGCUGAUCGGCUGCAAUCUCAUUUUAAACAUGUUUAACUUUAACGUUUAUUCCUUUAUUUUAAACUAACCCAUAGCUUCACACUACUAACCCAUAGCCUUACACUACUAACCCAUUAUUUUAUUCCUUGUGCACUGCUGUCUUGUCGUCCAUUGUCGUACUGUCUGCUGUUACGCUCCAACCGCCAAGUCACAUUCCUUGUAUGUCUGAUAUUAUGGCGAUAAAUGUUUCCUGAUUCCUGAUCAAAAGAUACAAUAUUUAUAUAAACAUAUUCAUCAAUAUCAGCUUUAUUUGUUAAAUACGUGUAUUAAUAUAAUUUACUGUACUUACUACAGAAAUAUAAAACAGUGGAAUGCUUAAAAAUGACAUUAUAAAUAUUUUUGUCUUCUAUAGAUCCGAUUGGCUGGAUCAUUAUUAUCACCUUCAGACCACUAGAUGGAGAUAAAGACCUGAGGAUCAUCCAGAGCAGCUGAUAGAAGAGCACCUACACACACACACACACACACACACACACACACACACACACACACACACACAUACACACACACACACACACACACACACACACAUUUACACACAUGGCCAGUAAACAUGAGUAGAUAUUUUGAUACUGUAAUGUGAACCUCUCCGUCUCUACUCACCAUCUGCCACACACACACACACACACACACACAAACACGCGUGCACGCACACACACACACACCCGUGCACGCACACACACACACAUGCCCCCCCCCCCCACACGCAUACACACUUUUCAUUUUUCCAUCCCUUGUCUCCAGUUCCCUCCUUCUGUCUCUCCUCACCGUCUCACUUUCUCUGUCUCUCACACACACACACACACACACACACCAACACACACACACACACACACACAGACACACACACAGACACACACCUACGGUGCCUGACACAGUAGCAUCUGGCGUCUUUCUGCUGCCGUCUUUCUGCUGCCGCCUCCCUCCUGAGACUCCUAUGAUGCGUCCUCCUCUGAACUUGCAGCUUCUCACCUGCAGAGCUCGUGUGAUCCACCUGCUUUUUAUUAAAAGGCUUAUUUUGUCAUUCAGCUAAACCUUGAAUUUAUGCCAGAAUUGAAACUUUAAAACGUCUUUCAUCCGCUGCUGAAAACUUCCAUUUUAUUUUAGCUGAUGGAAUAAGGAACAAAAAUACAAUCUUCUUACCACACUUUAAGUUUAUGGAAAGCUCGAAAUGAAUGUUUUUUCACUGUAACCCAGGUCAAAAAAAGAGGUGAAGACAGAAAAUACUGACUAAUAAUCAUAACGAAGCUCCAUAACAUCUGGUGGAGACUAACGUCGUGUGUGACGACCCUAAGCUACCCAAGCUAAGCUCAAAGAACCGAUUCUUUAAUAUUUUAAUGUGCAUGUGACGAGGCCCUGCGAUUGGCGGGCGACCGAUCCGACGUGGACCCCGUCUCUCGCCCGGAGUGACCCCGGCCCCCCGGCGACCCUGUAUGAAGGAUAAGACGAGCCUGCAUUGUUUUCUGCCUUUGGUAAGACUUGUUUUCACCCACAUGUUGGAUGUCUGGAGGAACUUUUUUUGCCAUUUUUUUUUUCUCAAGGGGCCGGACUUAACAAAGGGCCCAUGAGCACAAAAAGUGCAGGAUCAUCUCGUCAAGUAGCAAGCAUCGCCUCUUGAGGUGCAGUCAGUGUCCUGCCGCCUGUUGAAAUACGGCGACCUUUGACCCGGGGAACUCAGACCACAUCCCCACAUUGACGUCCGUCCCCCUGGAGGGAAACAUCCAACAUGGCAGCGUGCGCACAGAUCCUGGCCGUCCUACAAAGCGAAGCAAAGGAAGACGGGGAAGAGGGACGGAUGUGGAAAAGGGGGGAGUUCACACACACACACACACACACAGUGAGUACUGAUGAAAGAUACGCUGGAAAAAGCUGCAGAGAACAGAGCCCGACAGGUGGAAACCAUUAACCGCCGCAUGGAAAGUCAAACAGCACUGUGCGUGCAGGUGUGUGUGUGUCUGUGUGUGUGUGCAGGUGUGUGUGUGUCUGUGUGUGCGUGCAGGUGUGUGUGUGUCUGUGUGUGUGCGUGCAGGUGUGUGUGUGUGCAGAUGUGUGUGUGUGUGUGCAGGUCUGCGUGUGUCUGUGUGCGUGCAGGUGUGCGCGUGUCUGUUUGUACGUGCAGGUGUGUGUGUGUCUGUGCGUGCGUGCAGGUGUGCGUAUGUCUGUGUGCAUGCAGGUGUGUCUGUGUGUGUCUGUGUGUGCGUGCAGGUGUGUGUGUGUGCGUCUGUGUGUGCGUGCAGGUGACAAUCACAGGAAACCAUUUAAAGCUGACGUAUCACCUGAGACACUCUGUGCCCCCCCGCCGCAAUUCACAAAACUCCACCCACCGGCUGCACCCCGCAGCUCAAAACAAACCCCCCCUUUGAAGCUCUUUGUAUCUAAUUUAAUAUUGACAUUUUGUAAAAGAACAGUUUUUUUUGCGUAUUAAUCUCUUUAUCUUGAUUAAUGUGACAGAGGAGAAAGUUGUUGGUUCCGACGUCAUUUGGAGGGAAGUGAUGAAAUAAAGAAGCAGGAGGCCGUUCACACAGAUGAAAUCUGAGGGUCUUGAUGGAUUAAUGUCUCGCUGCGCAGAUAAUUCAACCAGGAUGUUUUCUGUCCCCGUUUUUGAUGAUUUUAAUGCGCCUCCGUGACAGCCGGCCUCGUCAUGCAGCGUUUACGAGAAGCAGCGAGAAGACGUUUUUAUAAAUUAGAGGGCGAGUCGCCCCCUGCUGGUCACUACAGGGAAUGCAUGAUACUUUGUUUUUGACCGACCAAGAAACACUUUCAGUGUAAAAUAUGAGUUGAUGAAUGAAAGAAUGUGAUGACUCAUUGGAAAUAACCCCGUGAGACUUCCUCAGUUUUCCUUCCCCCCCCCCCCGUCUGGGUGAUGGAUGACCUCCUCGGAGGGGCUUCCUGUGCCGUUUGGGAAGUCGUUAGGGCCGAGCUGGAUUCCUUUUUUUCGAACAUAUGUGUGAUUUGUGUGGCAUCGGCGGUCGGACUGGAUGACGGGGAGAAGGUGAAGUGAACUAGGAAGCAGCGCUGUGCUUCUUGGCUCAUUGGUCUGAUGGUAACGAUGGGAAAGGGAAAGAAAGUUGAUGACGGAGAUCUUAUCAGCUGGGAAAAACCAGACUCUCAGGGGUUGGUUUAGUUCCGUCAUUUUCUCUCCUUCUUUCUUCUCUCCAUUUCUUUUUCUCCCUCAUUCCUCCUCAUGUCGUCCUCCUUUCCUUCUCCCUUUUUCAUCUUUCAGAUUCGUCAUUUUCUCUUGUCUUUCUC
ensembl:lncRNA